UACAGAGGGUGCGAGCGUUAAUCGGAAUUACUGGGCGUAACGGGCGCGUAGGCGGCUUAUCAAGUCAGGCGUGAAAUUCCCGGGCUCAACCUGGGGGCUGCGCUUGAUACUGAUUGGCUUGAAUGCGGGAGAGGAUAGUGGAAUUCCCAGUGUAGAGGUGAAAUUCGUAGAUAUUGGGAAGAACACCGGUGGCGAAGGCGGCUAUCUGGCCCGUAAUUGACGCUGAGGCGCGAAAGCGUGGGGAGCAAACAGG
rnacentral:rRNA from 1 species